rnacentral:rRNA from 1 species
UACGGAGGGUGCGAGCGUUGUCCGGAUUUAUUGGGUUUAAAGGGUGCGUAGGCGGCCUUAUAAGUCCGGGGUGAAAGCCCGCUGCUCAACAGCGGAACUGCCCUGGAUACUGUGAGGCUUGAGUACAGACGAGGUUGGCGGAAUGGACGGAGUAGCGGUGAAAUGCAUAGAUACCGUCCAGAACCCCGAUUGCGAAGGCAGCUGACUAGGCUGUUACUGACGCUGAGGCACGACAGCGUGGGGAGCGAACAGG